GGACUGAUCCCAAUUUCCAUCACAGACUAUUAGAGGACUAUUAUCCAAUAUAUACAAUGAACUGAAGAAGUUAGACUCCAGAGAAUCAAAUAACCCUAUUUAAAAUGUGGUACAGAGAUAAAUAAAGAACUCUCAACUGAGGAAUACCAGAUGGCUGAGAAAAAAAAAAAAAAAACAAAACAAAACUAAAGAAAUGUUCAGCAUCCUUAGUCAUGAGGAAAAUGAUCAAACCCAGAAAGAAAUCCCAAGUUAAUAACCACUUCAAAACUGAAGAUCACAG
rnacentral:antisense_RNA from 1 species